CACAACACGAAAAAGAUUUUCCCACGAUCUGAAAUUCGUUGAAAACGGAGUGUGAAACAAAUCUCGUUGAAUUUGUGAAAACAAACGAGUGCUUCAGUUCGAAGGAACAUCGUGUGAAACCAGCCACACAACAAAGAAAAUUUGGACUGAUAUACCAAAUGCACUGAAACAAGGAGAUAUUCGCAUAAUAAAUGCGCUUUCACAAGCUCCAAGUAUAGGAUUGGCACCGACGGCGGCUUCAUCAUGACAGUAUUUUGAAGCAUUAAAGAUUUUGUAAACACUUAUCAGCAAAUGAAGUGGAACUGCCAGCAACUACGACCCUGAAUGAUCAGUUCUCGUGUAGAAAAAAUCGACGAAACAACUUGUGUUCCGGCUGCUGGGAGUGAUAACAAAACUCCACGGAAAUGGAACAAACAGCAGCACAAAAAUAUUGAUCUCCGUGACAUUAAGC